rnacentral:rRNA from 1 species
AUUGAACGCUGGCGGCAGGCUUAACACAUGCAAGUCGAGCGGGGUGAUGGUGCUUGCACUAUCACUUAGCGGCGGACGGGUGAGUAAUGCUUAGGAAUCUGCCUAUUAGUGGGGGACAACAUCUCGAAAGGGAUGCUAAUACCGCAUACGUCCUACGGGAGAAAGCAGGGGAUCACUUGUGACCUUGCGCUAAUAGAUGAGCCUAAGUCGGAUUAGCUAGUUGGUGGGGGAAAGGCCUACCAAGGCGACGAUCUGUAGCGGGUCUGAGAGGAUGAUCCGCCACACUGGGACUGAGACACGGCCCAGACUCCUACGGGAGGCAGCAGUGGGGAAGAUUGGACAAUGGGGGGAACCCUGAUCCAGCCAUGCCGCGUGUGUGAAGAAGGCCUUAUGGUUGUAAAGCACUUUAAGCGAGGAGGAGGCUCUUUUGGUUAAUACCCAAGAUGAGUGGACGUUACUCGCAGAAUAAGCACCGGCUAACUCUGUGCCAGCAGCCGCAGUAA